rnacentral:rRNA from 1 species
CCUACGGGAGGCAGCAGUGAGGAAUAUUGGUCAAUGGGAGAGAUCCUGAACCAGCCAAGCCGCGUGAGGGAAGACGGCCCUAUGGGUUGUAAACCUCUUUUGUCGGAGAACAAAACCCGGGACGUGUCCCGGACUGCGUGUAUCCGAAGAAAAAGCAUCGGCUAACUCCGUGCCAGCAGCCGCGGUAAUACGGAGGAUGCGAGUGUUAUCCGGAAUGACUGGGCGUAAGGGGUGCGUAGGUGGUUUGACAAGUUAGUAGCGCAACUCCGGAGCUCAACUUCGGAACUACUACUAAAACUGUUGGACUUGAGUGCAGGAGGGGCAAUCGGAAUUCCUAGUGUAGCGGUGGAAUGCGUAGAUAUUAGGAGGAACACCAGUGGCGAAGGCGGAUUGCUAGACUGUAACUGACACUGAGGCACGAAAGCGUGGGGAGCAAACAGGAUUAGAUACCCCAGUAGUC